CCUGCUGAGGGUUGGAUGCUGUGCCAGCAUGUGGGUCACCUGCUCACGAAACCCGGUGAUUGUGUGGGUCACCGCGGAGACACGAGAGAGCUGCACACCCGGCUGAAGAGCUGACAGGGACCCCGUGUGCCCUCCCUGCUCCUCCACGACUCCUCUCCUACCCUCAGGAAAAUCUCUUUGUGCCCUCAUCCAGGGCACUGAGGGCAAGGAACUGGCACUGCCAGUGGAGCGGGAAGUGAAAAGCUAUGCCCUGGCCGAUCAGUCCUCAAAGGAUCCCAGCUCUCAGAAUCUGAGGAAGAAGCUGCCUUCAGGCAUGAUGCCACCAGACAAUGGCCUGAAGGAGAUAGCCAGAAAAUUGAUUAGCAUCAUUGGAACUCCCUUGGCAGCAACUUUGCAAAUUCUCUAAAGAUUCUGUGGAAGAACUGCCUUCCAGAAAUUAAAAAGACCAGAGCCCCAGUUGGAACCACCCAGCCCCCGGGCAGCCCCCGGGAGAUCUUCAGAACGUAAAGGUGGGGUCUUUCAUUGCAGGAGCUGAACUGAAGAAGGUGUUCCCUGGAGAACAGGUACAGUAGGCCUACUUUCCAUUUUUUUUCUUUGAAGUAAAAAAUGCCAAAUAGGACUCUUGCCACCUUGGUGUGGUCUGGUCCUUUAUGAUGACCUUGGGGUCCCAGGAGGACUCGCCACAGUUACUUUUGGUUCUGCAGUCUUGGGACCAUGGUCUCCUCCAUGACUCUCAGUGAACCUGUCCCAGCCAGUGGGACAAGCUCCCAGUUCUGUAGAAAGACCUGGCUUCUUUCUGCUAGAACUUCUUUCUAUGCAGACCAUCCGCAGCCCUUAAGGCUGCAGUCUGGAAGGUCUGGGACUGCCGUGGGUGGGUGGUCUGCCUUCAGGGAGUACUUGCUAGGGCCUGAGCUGCACAGUAAUCGGAGGCUUCCAGCAGCUGUGUGGUCAGUACUGUGUAUUCCUGGCCAGGUUACCUCAAAAGAAAUACUUCUUCUUGAAGCCCUGACAUUUCCCUCUUCCUACUGGCCAACAGGCCCACUGACUCACCUCCAUAGACUUCGGUACACUACUCACUGUAGAGCGAUGCAUUUCAUCCCACUCAGGGUUGCCUUCCCUGUAUUUUCCACACAACUGAGCAUCACAGACACUAAGGUUCCCCUAGUGUCUGAGGAGCUGAGGAUGCUUAAGACUGUGACACUCUUCUACUUGAUCCAUUUCCUUCCUCAAAACCUUAUCCCUGCCCUAAAUCACAGAUGGCUUCUAGCCAUUCAAGACCUUGAUGACAGGGCGAGAGAGGAAAUAAAGAAAGAAAAAGGACACGUUGGAGAAAUAUAUUCCCUAUACAUAAAAUAGAUAGAUAACUCAUUUCCACAGAAACUCUUACAAAUAAAUAGGAAAUAAGACUUCCUUGGUGGCUCAGAUGGUUAAGCGUCUGCCUACAAUGCGGGAGACCUGGGUUCAAUCCCUGGGUUGGGAAGCUCUCCUGGAGAAGGAAAUGGCAACCCACUCCAGUAUUCUUGCCCGGAAAAUCAAAUGGAUGGAGGAGCCUGGUAGGCUACAGUCCAUGGGGUCACAAAGAGUUGGACAAGACUGAGC
ensembl:lncRNA